rnacentral:rRNA from 1 species
GAUGAACGCUGGCGGCGUGCUUAACACAUGCAAGUCGAACGAGAAGUGAAGACGGAAACCUUCGGGCGGAAGGCUUUAUUUCGAGUGGCGGACGGGUGAGUAACGCGUGGGUAACCUGCCUCAUGCAGGGGGAUAACAGUUGGAAACGACUGUUAAUACCGCAUAAGACCACAGCACCGCAUGGUGCGGGGGUAAAAACUCCGGUGGUAUGAGAUGGACCCGCGUUCGAUUAGCCAGUUGGCGGGGUAACGGCCCACCAAAGCGACGAUCGAUAGCCGAUCUGAGAGGAUGACCGGCCACAUUGGGACUGAGACACGGCCCAAACUCCUACGGGAGGCAGCAGUGGGGAAUAUUGCACAAUGGGGGAAACCCUGAUGCAGCGACGCCGCGUGAGUGAAGAAGUAUUUCGGUAUGUAAAGCUCUAUCAGCAGGGAAGAAAAUGACGGUACCUGAGUAAGAAGCCCCGGCUAACUACGUG